rnacentral:rRNA from 1 species
CCUACGGGAGGCAGCAGUAGGGAAUUUUCGGCAAUGGGGGGAACCCUGACCGAGCAACGCCGCGUGAACGAAGAAGUUAUUCGUAAUGUAAAGUUCUUUUAACAGGGAAGAAAGAGAAAUUUGACGGUACCUGAAGAAUAAGCUCCGGCUAACUACGUGCCAGCAGCCGGGGUAAUACGUAGGGAGCGAGCGUUAUCCGGAAUUAUUGGGCGCAAAGGGUGCGUAGAUGGCAUAGUAAGUCUUUUGUAAAAAUGCUGGGCUCAACCCAGUAGGGCAAAAGAUACUGCAAAGCUAGAGUAUGACAGAGGCAAGUGGAACUACAUGUGUAGCGGUAAAAUGCGUAGAUAUAUGUAAGAACACCAGUGGCGAAGGCGGCUUGCUGGGUCGAUACUGACAUUGAGGCACGAAAGCGUGGGGAGCAAACAGGAUUAGAUACCCCAGUAGUC